rnacentral:rRNA from 1 species
AUUGAACGCUGGCGGCAGGCCUAACACAUGCAAGUCGAGCGAGCGGCGGACGGGUGAGUAAUGUAUGGGGACUGCCCGAUAGAGGGGGAUAACAACUGGAAACGGUAGCUAAUACCGCAUACUAUCGGAUAACCCAUAUGGGAUUAGCUAGUAGGUGCGGUAAUGGUUAACUUAGGCGACGAUCCCUAGCUGGUCUGAGAGGAUGAUCAGCCGCACGGGGACGGAGACACGGCCCGGGCUCCUACGGAGGCAGCAGUGGGGAAUAUGGCGCAAAGGACGCAAGCCUGAUGCAGCCAUGCCUCGUGUAUGAGGAAGGCCCUAGGGUUGUAAAGUACUUACAGUCGUGAGGCGUUAACGACAGAAAAAGCACUGGCUAACUCCGCGCCAGCAGCCGCGGUAAUUC